rnacentral:lncRNA from 1 species
GUCUGGGUGACUAUAGUGUCCCUUUAAAGUUACUUACUUGUGGAAGAAUGAUAACCAUUAAGAAUAACUGAUAUUGGGCAUUCGUUAAAAAAUGCACCACCAGAUUUCAGACAGGUUUGAUGUGAUAUAUGUUUUGUGACAUAUGUGAUAGAUAUUUGUAAAGUCACUCAUUCAUUUCCUACUGGGACAUCUCAGCCUGGAUCCGUAGAAGAAAGCCCUUUGCAUUACUUAUCUACUUCUGAGUGCAAGGUAGAACAUGAGGAUUAAAUCAGAGCCCACUUUAGUAGACACAUUAAGCUAACCAACACUUUUAAGGUAUUGAUAAUUAGUGCUUCCCAUCAGCAUUUUACAUUUUUUUUAUCCAGACACUUUAAGGCUGUCUGGUGAAGGUUGAUUCCUAAAUGUGAUGGGAAAGGGGGGUUUGAUGCUUAAAGGUGAUGUGAGAGGAUUAUCCUUAAUGGUGAUGGGAGAGGAAGGGAGUGAUGCCUAAUGAUACUUUGAACGAUGGUACCAUUACCGGUUGAAUAUAGGUUGUCUUCUGAAUACAAAACACCCUCUGAAUGAGUCAGAAACCCAUUCUAAAAUGGCAUCUAUCCAAAAGAGGGACAGACUGAUGGUAAAAAGGUAUACUAGUCUUUAAGACCUUUUUAAAGGGAUUUUUUUUCACACAUGUGAUGCUAUGGAUUAUGAUGUUGAACAAGUAGUCAAUUAGGGCAUGAGGCAAUUCCAAAGGUGGAGUAUCACCAUCUUAAAACUUUAUUAGACACCACUGUGAAUACUUAAAUCAAUUAAAAAGAUUAUUGGAGAAUUAGUCUAGCUAUCCAAAGGGUGCAUGGCAAUCAUACAUCAGAUGCAGGACCAAUGGACAUGCAUAGCAUCCCCUACAGAAGGAACUGAGUCUAUGGCUCAUGUAUGAUAAAUGGUAAACUACAUCAGUCACCAAAAUGACUAUCUCUGUCCUCCUUCAUCUAACAACUAAUUGAGUGACCACUUCAAGCUAGAAACCUCAAUCUUCCCUGUGGAGCUUCUGAUGAAUGACAAUGUACAAAAUCCUUAAUUGUGGCUUUUCAGAUGGUUGACAGUAAAAAGCAAUGUGCACAAACAUUGUUCUACUGUCCAAAUAGAAGAAGGCAUAGGGGAAUCUCUGAAAAUUAGUGUAAAAUAGGAAAGUGUGGAAGCUUAUCCUAAUUUAUGGGUACUGAUUGAUAAAUUGGCUUCCAUAUAACACCAAAUCUCUGUAAUUUCAAAAGGACCCUUAAAGGACCACUCUAGGCACCCAGACCACUUCAGCUUUAUGAAGUGGUCUGGGUGCCAGGUCCCUCUAGGAUUAACCCUUUUUUUUAUAAACAUAGAAGUUUCAGAGAAACUGCUAUGUUUAUACUGAGGGUUAAUCCAGCCUCCAGUGGCUGUCUCAUUGACAGCCGCUAGAGGCGCUUGCGUGCUUCUUACUGUGAAAAUCACAGUGAGAGCACGCAAGCGUCCAUAGGAAAGCAUUGUAAAUGCUUUCCUAUGCGACCGGCUGAAUGCGCGCGCGGCUCCUGCCGCACAUGCGCAUUCAGCCGAUGACGUCGCGAGCAAGGAGGAGAGGAGGAG